UGGGGAAUUUUGGACAAUGGGCGAAAGCCUGAUCCAGCAAUGCCGCGUGUGUGAAGAAGGCCCUCGGGUUGUAAAGCACUUUUGUCCGGAAAGAAAUCCUUGGCUCUAAUACAGUCGGGGGAUGACGGUACCGGAAGAAUAAGCACCGGCUAACUACGUGCCAGCAGCCGCGGUAAUACGUAGGGUGCAAGCGUUAAUCGGAAUUACUGGGCGUAAAGCGUGCGCAGGCGGUUUGCUAAGACCGAUGUGAAAUCCCCGGGCUCAACCUGGGAACUGCAUUGGUGACUGGCAGGCUAGAGUAUGGCAGAGGGGGGUAGAAUUCCACGUGUAGCAGUGAAAUGCGUAGGGAUGUGGAGGAAUACCGAUGGCGAAGGCAGCCCCCGUGGGCCAAUACUGACGCUCAUGCACGAAAGCGUGGGGAGCAAACAGGAUUAGAUACCCUGGUAGUCCACGCCCUAAACGAUGUCAACUAGUUGUUGGGGAUUCAUUUCCUUAGUAACGUAGCUAACGCGUGAAGUUGACCGCCUGGGGAGUACGGUCGCAAGAUUAAAACUCAAAGGAAUUGACGGGGUCAUAGCUG
rnacentral:rRNA from 1 species